AUCCGAAAAUGUUGAGCAAGAGAAGGAAAUCAAACAGAGCUGAAUAUCCAAUUCCGGCGCCGGCAACCGCACCUCCGCCGCCUCCAUGGAUCGAACUGCCGGAGGAUUUGACGGCGAAUAUCCUGCAAAGGUUGGAUGCUGAGGAGAUAAUUAUGAGCGCGAUGCUAGUGUGUAGUACAUGGUGGAGAGUCUGCAAGAAUCCCGCCAUGUAGCGCGUUAUCGAUUUGGACUAUCGACGUUGCCAGCAAUCCGACGAUUUUGAUAACAUUCGUAGUGCAGUGGAUUUUGAUAUCAUUCGGCGUAGCGCAGUGGAUCUAGCCAGGGACAAUUGGUCGAGCUAAAGCUAGCCUAUUUGGAAACAGAAGAUGGGAUUCUAAACUACAUCAAGUCAGCUUCGAUGCCUUACACUUGAAAGGUAUUUCGGAAGGGAUGAUGUUGCUUGGACCGAUGCAAUAAACGAACUCACACAACUGGAAGAGUUGCACUUGAUAUCAUAGACUUUGAAACCAUUGGCACCUCUUGCCCCAUGUUGAAAUCAUUUACAUAUAACGAAUUUUGUUGUGAGCAGUCAGAAGAGGAGGAUGACCUCGAUGGUGGUGUAGUUUCAAGAUAAGCAUCUUAACUUUUUGUGUAGGUAUCAACCGUAACAGUUUAGGCGAUGGGAGAGAGCAAUGGUAGACGGUAAACGCCUUUUUUUCCGAAUCUUGGUCCGUGAUAAUCUAUCUUGGUAUAUCUCCACAGGGCUAAGAUGACAUUGUAUCUCAUGAUUAACUAUCUCAUCUCUAUCUCUAUCUCUAUCUCUAUGAUUAAUUUACUUUGAAA